UCAACUGCAACAGAAUCGAAUGCAUCAACAAGACAGGUGGAGAUUUACAAAACAAAUUCAAGUUUCCAGUAGACAUUAGUUCGUUCGAUGUCAUUGACGAUGACAGGCUAGUAUUUUGCGAUAACGCUGGAGGUCUGUGGAUCCACAACGCUGCUACCGGAUGCUCCAAGCUGCUCAGCUGUAAAGCCAAUGCAUGUGGGGACGUAAGGAUCAACUCUUGUACGUCGCUUAUUUACGCUGUCUACCCAAAUGAUGCAAAUCUCGACAUCUUCAACUCCACCACCUGUGAUAGUGUGGGAACGUUGCCGUACACAGGAUCUGUUCCCACUGGUUCUCCGAGCCUU